rnacentral:tRNA from 1 species
GUUUAGCUCAGCUGGUUAGAGCGUCGGAUUGUGGUUCCGAAGGUCGUGGGUUCGAACCCCACA